rnacentral:pre_miRNA from 1 species
UAUGUAAUUAGUGGCGGAGUAAUUUCCAGAUAAACGUACGUCUUUAUAUCUACGUUUAUUUGGAAACUAUCCCGGCACAAUUACCAU